AGAGUUUGAUCAUGGCUCAGGACAAACGCUGGCGGGGUGCAUGAGACAUGCAAGUCGAACGGGGUGCCAUCGGGCUUGCUCGAUGGUUACCUAGUGGCGGACGGCUGAGUAACGCGUAGGUGACCUACCCGGAAGUGGGGAAUAACUGCCCGAAAGGGUGGCUAAUACCGCAUGUGGUCGGCGAUUCGAUUCGCCGUCCAAAGGAGAAAUCCGCUUCCGGCGGGGCCUGCGUCCGAUUAGCUAGUUGGUGGGGUAACGGCUCACCAAGGCGACGAUCGGUAGCUGGUCUGAGAGGAUGAUCAGCCAGACUGGGACUGAGAACGGCCCAGACUCCUACGGGAGGCAGCAGUCGGGAAUUUUGCCCAAUGAGCGAAAGCUUGAGGCAGCAACUCCGCGUGAGGGAUGAAGGCUCUCGGGUCGUAAACCUCUUUUCUCAGGGAAGAUCCAAGACGGUACCUGAGGAAUAAGCGACGGCUAACUACGUGCCAGCAGCCGCGGUAAUACGUAGGUCGCAAGCGUUGUCCGGAUUUACUGGGCGUAAAGAGCGCGCAGGCGGCUGGUCAAGUCCGAUGUGAAAUCUCCCGGCUCAACUGGGAAACUGCAUCGGAAACUGACCGGCUUGAAGGUGGGAGAGGGGUAAGUGGAAUUCCCGGUGUAGUGGUGAAAUGCGUAGAUGUCGGGAGGAACACCAGUGGCGAAAGCGACUACCUGGCCCAUUCUUGACGCUGAGGCGCGAAAGCUAGGGGAGCGAACGGGAUUAGAUACCCCGGUAGUCCUAGCCGUAAACGAUGAACACUAGGCGUAGUCGGUAUCGACCCCGGCUGUGCCGUAGCUAACGCAUUAAGUGUUCCGCCUGGGGAGUACGGCCGCAAGGCUAAACUCAAUGAUUGACGG
rnacentral:rRNA from 1 species